rnacentral:rRNA from 1 species
AUUGAACGCUGGCGGCAGGCCUAACACAUGCAAGUCGAGCGCGAAAGGCUUUCGGGCUGAGUAGAGCGGCGGACGGGUGAGUAACGCGUAGGAAUCUACCUGGUAGUGGGGGACAACUUGGGGAAACUCAAGCUAAUACCGCAUACGCCCUAUGGGGGAAAGUGGGGGACCUUCGGGCCUCACGCUAUCAGAUGAGCCUGCGUAGGAUUAGCUAGUUGGUGAGGUAAAGGCUCACCAAGGCGACGAUCCUUAGCUGGUCUGAGAGGAUGAUCAGCCACACUGGGACUGAGACACGGCCCAGACUCCUACGGGAGGCAGCAGUGGGGAAUAUUGCGCAAUGGGGGGCAACCCUGACGCAGCCAUGCCGCGUGUGUGAAGAAGGCCUCGGUU